rnacentral:rRNA from 1 species
UACGAAGGGGGCGAGCAUUGUUCGGAAUUACUGGGCGUAAAGGGUGCGUAGGUGGUUCGGUAAGUCGGAUGUGAAAUCUCCAGGCUCAACCUGGAGGGGUCAUUCGAUACUGCCGUGACUAGAGGUCGGUAGGGGAGUGUGGAAUUCCUGGUGGAGCGGUGAAAUGCGCAGGUAUCAGGAGGAACACCCGUAGCGAAGGCGGCACUCUGGGCCGAUACUGACACUGAGGAGCGAAAGCGUGGGGAGCGAACAGG